rnacentral:rRNA from 1 species
CCUACGGGACGCAGCAGUGAGGAAUAUUGGUCAAUGGGCGGGAGCCUGAACCAGCCAAGCCGCGUGAGGGAAGAAGGUACAGCGUAUCGUAAACCUCUUUUGUCAGGGAACAAAGGCGGGGACUAGUCCCCGGAUGAGGGUACCUGAAGAAAAAGCAUCGGCUAACUCCGUGCCAGCAGCCGCGGUAAUACGGAGGAUGCGAUCGUUAUCCGGAUUUAUUGGGUUUAAAGGGUGCGCAGUCGGCCUGUUAAGUCAGCGUUAAAAGCCCGGUGCUCAACCCCUUCUAGCCGUUGAAACUUGCGUGU